rnacentral:rRNA from 1 species
GGUUAAGCGACUAAGCGUACACGGUGGAUGCCCUGGCAGUCAGAGGCGAUGAAGGACGUGCUAAUCUGCGAUAAGCGUCGGUAAGGUGAUAUGAACCGUUAUAACCGGCGAUUUCCGAAUGGGGAAACCCAGUGUGAUUCGUCACACUAUCAUUAACUGAAUCCAUAGGUUAAUGAGGCGAACCGGGGGAACUGAAACAUCUAAGUACCCCGAGGAAAAGAAAUCAACCGAGAUUCCCCCAGUAGCGGCGAGCGAACGGGGAGCAGCCCAGAGCCUGAAUCAGUGUGUGUGUUAGUGGAAGCGUCUGGAAAGGCGCGCGAUACAGGGUGACAGCCCCGUACACAAAAAUGCACAUGCUGUGAGCUCGAUGAGUAGGGCGGGACACGUGGUAUCCUGUCUGAAUAUGGGGGGACCAUCCUCCAAGGCUAAAUACUCCUGACUGACCGAUAGUGAACCAGUACCGUGAGGGAAAGGCGAAAAGAACCCCGGCGAGGGGAGUGAAAAAGAACCUGAAACCGUGUACGUACAAGCAGUGGGAGCACGCUUAGGCGUGUGACUGCGUACCUUUUGUAUAAUGGGUCAGCGACUUAUAUUCUGUAGCAAGGUUAACCGAAUAGGGGAGCCGAAGGGAAACCGAGUCUUAACUGGGCGUUAAGUUGCAGGGUAUAGACCCGAAACCCGGUGAUCUAGCCAUGGGCAGGUUGAAGGUUGGGUAACACUAACUGGAGGACCGAACCGACUAAUGUUGAAAAAUUAGCGGAUGACUUGUGGCUGGGGGUGAAAGGCCAAUCAAACCGGGAGAUAGCUGGUUCUCCCCGAAAGCUAUUUAGGUAGCGCCUCGUGAAUUCAUCUCCGGGGGUAGAGCACUGUUUCGGCAAGGGGGUCAUCCCGACUUACCAACCCGAUGCAAACUGCGAAUACCGGAGAAUGUUAUCACGGGAGACACACGGCGGGUGCUAACGUCCGUCGUGAAGAGGGAAACAACCCAGACCGCCAGCUAAGGUCCCAAAGUCAUGGUUAAGUGGGAAACGAUGUGGGAAGGCCCAGACAGCCAGGAUGUUGGCUUAGAAGCAGCCAUCAUUUAAAGAAAGCGUAAUAGCUCACUGGUCGAGUCGGCCUGCGCGGAAGAUGUAACGGGGCUAAACCAUGCACCGAAGCUGCGGCAGCGACACUAUGUGUUGUUGGGUAGGGGAGCGUUCUGUAAGCCUGUGAAGGUGUACUGUGAGGUAUGCUGGAGGUAUCAGAAGUGCGAAUGCUGACAUAAGUAACGAUAAAGCGGGUGAAAAGCCCGCUCGCCGGAAGACCAAGGGUUCCUGUCCAACGUUAAUCGGGGCAGGGUGAGUCGACCCCUAAGGCGAGGCCGAAAGGCGUAGUCGAUGGGAAACAGGUUAAUAUUCCUGUACUUGGUGUUACUGCGAAGGGGGGACGGAGAAGGCUAUGUUGGCCGGGCGACGGUUGUCCCGGUUUAAGCGUGUAGGCUGGUUUUCCAGGCAAAUCCGGAAAAUCAAGGCUGAGGCGUGAUGACGAGGCACUACGGUGCUGAAGCAACAAAUGCCCUGCUUCCAGGAAAAGCCUCUAAGCAUCAGGUAACAUCAAAUCGUACCCCAAACCGACACAGGUGGUCAGGUAGAGAAUACCAAGGCGCUUGAGAGAACUCGGGUGAAGGAACUAGGCAAAAUGGUGCCGUAACUUCGGGAGAAGGCACGCUGAUAUGUAGGUGAAGUCCCUCGCGGAUGGAGCUGAAAUCAGUCGAAGAUACCAGCUGGCUGCAACUGUUUAUUAAAAACACAGCACUGUGCAAACACGAAAGUGGACGUAUACGGUGUGACGCCUGCCCGGUGCCGGAAGGUUAAUUGAUGGGGUCAGCGCAAGCGAAGCUCUUGAUCGAAGCCCCGGUAAACGGCGGCCGUAACUAUAACGGUCCUAAGGUAGCGAAAUUCCUUGUCGGGUAAGUUCCGACCUGCACGAAUGGCGUAAUGAUGGCCAGGCUGUCUCCACCCGAGACUCAGUGAAAUUGAACUCGCUGUGAAGAUGCAGUGUACCCGCGGCAAGACGGAAAGACCCCGUG